CACGUAGGGCGCGAGCGUUGUCCGGAAUUAUUGGGCGUAAAGAGCUCGUAGGCGGCCUGUUGCGUCCGCUGUGAAAGCCCGGGGCUUAACCCCGGGUCGGCAGUGGAUACGGGCAAGCUAGAGGUAGGUAGGGGAGAAUGGAAUUCCCGGUGUAGCGGUGAAAUGCGCAGAUAUCGGGAGGAACACCGGUGGCGAAGGCGGUUCUCUGGGCCUUACCUGACGCUGAGGAGCGAAAGCGUGGGGAGCGAACAGG
rnacentral:rRNA from 1 species